rnacentral:rRNA from 1 species
GUAAUGGCGAAUGAACAGGGAUAAGCUCAGCAUGGAAAUCGGUGUCUCUGGCAUUGAAUUGUAGUCUCGAGAUGUACUGCCAACGGAGGCGCAGAUGUAAGCCUCUUGGAAAAGAGCAUCAACGAGGGUGAGAGUCCCGUUUGUCAUCUGCAGUCCCCCGUGCACGGCGUACUUCUAAAGAGUCACGUUCCUCGGAAAUGGAGCGCAAAGUGGGUGGUAAAUUUCAUCUAAAGCUAAAUAUAGGUUCGAGACCGAUAGCAAACAAGUACCAUGAGGGAAAGGUGAAAAGGACUUUGAAAAGAGAGUUAAAAGUGCCUGAAAUUGCUGAAAGGGAAGCGAAUGGAACCAGUGUUUCUUGGCAAGAUUGGUGCGUGCUAUGGGGAUUGCCUGCUACUUCAGCGCAAGCGGGGUAGUGGGUUUUGACCUGGACGUGCGUGUUGUUUCUUGCCUUGUCUGUCAACGUCAGUUCCCAAUCGAGGAAAACGCCAGGGACAUGGUAGCUCGUCUCCGGGUGAGUGAAUGUGCUUGGUUGAACUCAUUUGUGAACUGGUUCUUGCGUGUCUGGUUGCAGUGACUGUGUCCUCACACCUCCGCAACGGGUUGAUUCCUUCUGUGGGUGGGGUGGGCGACCGGUGCAUCUCCCUGACACAACGACGCUGACUAAAUGGUUCUAUUCGACCCGUCUUGAAACACGGACCAAGGAGUCUAACAUAUGUGCGAGUUCACGGGCGGGUAAACCUGCUUGCGCAAUGAAAGUGACUGCUGGGAUUUUUGCACCAGCAACCGACCAAUCAAUUGAGAGAGGUUUGAGUAUGAGCAUAUCUGUUAGGACCCGAAAGAUGGUGAACUAUGCGUGGUUAGGGCAAAGUCAGGGGAAACUCUGAUGGAGGCUCGUAGCGAUACUGACGUGCAAAUCGUUCGUCAAAACUGCGUA